rnacentral:rRNA from 1 species
UACGUAGGGAGCGAGCGUUGUCCGGAUUCAUUGGGCGUAAAGAGCUCGUAGGCGGCUUGGUAAGUCGGAUGUGAAACCUCCAGGCUCAACCUGGAGUCGCCAUCCGAUACUGCCAUGGCUAGAGUCCGGAAGAGGAGUGUGGAAUUCCCGGUGUAGCGGUGAAAUGCGCAGAUAUCGGGAAGAACACCCGUGGCGAAGGCGGCACUCUGGGACGGUACUGACGCUGAGACGCGAAAGCGUGGGGAGCGAACAGG